UGGGGUAUAGCUGAGUGGUUUAGCGGGGGACUGUUAAUCCCUGGACGUUGGUUCAAUCCCAACUACCCCAGCC
rnacentral:tRNA from 1 species